CCCUUAGAUGUUCUGGGCCGCACGCGUGCUACAAUGGCAAAAUCAACGAGUAUACCUUUGUCGACAGACAUGGGAAAUCUUUUCAGUUCUUGCCGUGAUGGGGCUAGACCCUUGUAAUUGUUGGUCUCCAACGAGGAAUUCCUAGUAAACGCAAGUCAUUAUCUUGCAUUGAUUACGUCCCUGCCCUUUGUACACACCGCCCGUCGCUCCUACCGAUUGAAUGUGUUGGUGAGGAGCUCGGAUUGGCAGCAGUUGGUGGUUCGCCACCGGCUAUUGCUGAGAAGUCCUCCAAACCGCCCCAUUUAGAGGAAGGAGAAGUCGUAACA
rnacentral:rRNA from 1 species